GAUGAACGCUGGCGGCGUGCUUAACACAUGCAAGUCGAACGGUGAGGCGCGUUUCUUGUUGCUGGGUGUGGAGUAGCGGCGAACGGGUGAGUAACACGAGAGUAACCUGACCUCUUCUUGUUGACAACCGCAUGAAAGUGUGACUAACACGGGAUAUUCUGGGCCUGUCGCAUGAUUGGUGUGGGAUAGAUUUGGUGUCGGUGGGGGAUGGGCCCGCGGCGUAUCAGCUUGUUGGUGGGGUGAUGGCCUACCAAGGCGGUGACGGGUAGCCGGCCUGAGAGGGUCGACGGCCGCACUGGGACGGUGACACGGCCCAGACUGCUACGGGCAGCAGCAGUGAGGCAUAUGGCACCAUGGGCGGAAGACUGAUGCAACGACGCGGCGGGAGGGAUGGACGCCGUCGCGUGGAGAACCACUUUCGCCAGGGAAGCAAGCCUGCUUCGUUUGUGGGUGACUUGACGGUAGCUGGAUAAAAAGCGCCGGCUAACUACGUG
rnacentral:rRNA from 1 species